AGCGGGGUGGAAAUGUUCAGAAUUCCUAAAAAAGUUUUGGGUGCUCGCGAGGCCCAUAACCUCGAGGUCGCGUGGUUCAAAUCCCGCCCCCGCUA
rnacentral:tRNA from 1 species